CUCCCAGGACAACCAGUGGCUGGACAAAAGGUUGGGGGACAUUGAUCUCGGAGACGGCGGUUUAACUGAUCCAUUCUCUCACAUCACUUCCCUCACAGUGCACGGUGCUUGUACCAGAGUCCCAGCAA
rnacentral:precursor_RNA from 15 species